rnacentral:rRNA from 1 species
GGAUAAGCCAUAGACGCUGGAAUGCCCUAUGGUUCAAAGCUCCGGCGCCUAAGGAUGGAUCUGCGGUCUAUCAGGUUGUAGUGGGUGUAACGUACCUACUAGCCGACGACGGAUACGGGUUGUGAGAGCAAGAGCCCGGAGAUGGAUUCUGAGACACGAAUCCAGGCCCUACGGGGUGCAGCAGGCGCGAACACUUUACAAUGCGGGAAACCGCGAUAAGGGAACCCCGAGUGCCAGCAUCAAAUGUUGGCUGUCCAGAUGAUUAAAAAUCAUUUGUUAGCAAGGGCCGGGCAAGACCGGUGCCAGCCGCCGCGGUAACACCGGCGGCCCGAGUGGUAGCCGUUUUUAUUGGGUCUAAAGGGUCCGUAGCCGGCUUGAUAAGUCCUUUGGGAAAUCUGGCAGCUUAACUGUCAGGCUUCUAAGGGAUACUGUCAGGCUUGGGACCGGAAGAGGUAAGGGGUACUCCAGGGGUAGGAGUGAAAUCUUGUAAUCCCUGGGGGACCAUCUGUGGCGAAGGCGCCUUACCAGAACGGGUCCGACGGUGAGGGACGAAAGCUAGGGGAGCAAACCGGAUUAGAUACCCGGGUAGUCCUAGCUGUAAACGAUGCUCGCUAGGUGUCAGACACGGUGCGACCGUGUUUGGUGCCGCAGGGAAGCCGUUAAGCGAGCCACCUGGGAAGUACGGUCGCAAGGCUGAAACUUAA